rnacentral:rRNA from 1 species
AUUGAACGCUGGCGGCAGGCCUAACACAUGCAAGUCGAACGCGUGGCGGACGGGUGAGUAAUGUCUGGGAAACUGCCUGAUGGAGGGGGAUAACUAAUAGAAACGGUAGCUAAUACCGCAUACCAUCAGCUGUGCCCAGAUGGGAUUCGAUUGUUGGUGGGGUAACGGCUCACAAAGGCGACGAUCCCUAGCUGGUCUGAGAGGAUGACCAGCCACACUGGAACUGAGACACGGUCCAGACUCCUACGGGAGGCAGCAGUGGGGAAUAUUGGACAAUGGGCGCAAGCCUGAUGCAGCCAUGCCGCGUGUAUGAAGAAGGCCUUCGGGUUGUAAAGCACUUUAGGUUGGGGGGCGUUAUCAACAGAAUAAGCACCGGCUAACUUCGUGCCAGCAGCCGCGGUAAUAC